AGAGUUUGAUCCUGGCUCAGAUUGAACGCUGGCGGAAUGCUUUACACAUGCAAGUCGAACGGCAGCACGGGAGCUUGCUCCUGGUGGCGAGUGGCGAACGGGUGAGUAAUGCGUCGGAACGUACCGAGUAAUGGGGGAUAACGCAGCGAAAGUUGUGCUAAUACCGCAUACGCCCUGAGGGGGAAAGUGGGGGAUCGCAAGACCUCACGUUAUUCGAGCGGCCGACGUCUGAUUAGCUUGUUGGUGAGGUAAUGGCUCACCAAGGCGACGAUCAGUAGCGGGUCUGAGAGGAUGAUCCGCCACACUGGGACUGAGACACGGCCCAGACUCCUACGGGAGGCAGCAGUGGGGAAUUUUGGACAAUGGGGGCAACCCUGAUCCAGCCAUUCCGCGUGAGUGAAGAAGGCCUUCGGGUUGUAAAGCUCUUUCAGCUGGAAAGAAACGGUGAGCUCUAACAUAGCUUGCUAAUGACGGUACCAGCAGAAGAAGCACCGGCUAACUACGUGCCAGCAGCCGCGGUAAUACGUAGGGUGCGAGCGUUAAUCGGAAUUACUGGGCGUAAAGCGUGCGCAGGCGGAUUGUUAAGCAAGAUGUGAAAUCCCCGGGCUUAACCUGGGAAUGGCAUUUUGAACUGGCAGUCUAGAGUGUGUCAGAGGGGGGUGGAAUUCCACGUGUAGCAGUGAAAUGCGUAGAGAUGUGGAGGAACACCGAUGGCGAAGGCAGCCCCCUGGGAUAACACUGACGCUCAUGUACGAAAGCGUGGGUAGCAAACAGGAUUAGAUACCCUGGGUAGUCCACGCCCUAAACGAUGUCAACUGGUUGUUGGGGGAGUGAAAUCCUUUAGUAACGAAGCUAACGCGUGAAGUUGACCGCCCUGGGGAGUACGGUCGCCAGAUUAAAACUCAAAUGGAUUGACG
rnacentral:rRNA from 1 species